rnacentral:rRNA from 1 species
AUGAACGCUGACAGAAUGCUUAACACAUGCAAGUCAACUUGAAUUUGGGUUUUUAACUUAGGUUUGGGUGGCGGACGGGUGAGUAACGCGUAAAGAACUUGCCUCACAGCUAGGGACAACAUUUGGAAACGAAUGCUAAUACCUAAUAUUAUGAUAAUAGGGCAUCCUAUAAUUAUGAAAGCUAUAAGCGCUGUGAGAGAGCUUUGCGUCCCAUUAGCUAGUUGGAGAAGUAACGGCUCACCAAGGCGAUGAUGGGUAGCCGGCCUGAGAGGGUGAUCGGCCACAAGGGGACUGAGACACGGCCCUUACUCCUACGGGAGGCAGCAGUGGGGAAUAUUGGACAAUGGACCGAGAGUCUGAUCCAGCAAUUCUGUGUGCACGAUGAAGUUUUUCGGAAUGUAAAGUGCUUUCAGUUGGGAAGAAACAAAUGACGGUACCAACAGAAGAAGUGACGGCUAAAUACGUG